UACGUAGGAUCCAAGCGUUAUCCGGAAUCACUGGGCGUAAAGCGUGCGUAGGUGGAUGUUUAAGUGAGAUGCGAAAUUCAACGGCUCAACCGUUUGAACUGUAUCUCAUACUGGACAUCUGGAGGACGGCAGAGGCAAGUGGAACUAGCGGUGUAGCAGUGAAAUGCGUAGAGAUCGCUAAGAACACCAAUGGCGAAGGCAGCUUGCUGGGCCGUAUCUGACACUGAGGCACGAAAGCGUGGGGAGCAAACAGG
rnacentral:rRNA from 1 species